rnacentral:tRNA from 1 species
GGGUCUAUAGUUAAGUGGUAUAAUAUUCGGCUCCAGACCGAAAGUUGGGGGUUCGAUUCCUCCUAGGCCCA